UCGCAGUCUGUAUUCCCGUUA
rnacentral:piRNA from 1 species